AUAUAUAAUAUACAUACACAGACCAUGUAGUAUCUGUGUUUCAUUAUCUAUUCUACCUAUAGGAGACAAUAUAUGCCGUAUCAUGCUCAAAAUCACUAAAGGCUUGAGGUUAAAGGAGGGAUAACAUCAAUUAUGGAGGAUCCAGUCAACGAGAGGACUAACAUCAAUUGGUGAAUUUCAACCUCUACAUCAAAUGAAGAAAACAUGGAUGGAGGAUAUGAGCCAGCAGACUCCGACAUUGGAAUUGAUUGCCAAGGAUCGACAUGGAAAUGAAUGGUAAUUCUACCAUAUAUUAGAGACCAUAGACUUGAAUGCAGUGAAGAAGAGUACACUUAACUGCUAUAAGCCAAUUUGCAAUUUCCUGUAUAAAUUCCAAUUCUCUGAUUAAUGAUGGAACAGAAGGAAGGGAUAAAACUGCAAGUGACGGUGAAGUUGGACGCCUCAAUAUUGGAGGCGAUUAAGUCAAGAUAUAGGUUUCUAACAGAUGCUUUGAUUCUCUAGAUUGGUCUGUUAAGAUGUUAGCCCGCUGUCUUGGGUCUUUCAUCUCUUGAAUAAGAGAAUAAGAAUUUCUUAUUCAUUAAUGAUUCUAGAUGGUACUGUUGUAGUUUUGGUUGGGCUAUCAAUGUGCUUGGAUCUCUAUAUUCUGAAUCAAAAUGCAGAGCAUCUUUAAAGACUUGACUUGUU